rnacentral:lncRNA from 1 species
UAUUUUGUAACUAUAAUUACAAAGAAAAAUAGAUUAAAAAAAAUUAAUUGCGACGUUGAUUGGGAUCUUCAUCGACAAAAUGACUACCAGUUCCACAUCUUGCACGUACUUGAAAGCGGGGACCACGACCUAAUGGUUGUGUUGAGGUAGGUAUAGUAGGGGUAGUAGUUGUGGAGGGACUAACAGUGGUUUGAAGAAUGGGUGGUUGCUCACGAAAAAUUU